AUUGAAACACCAGUUCUCAUAUGAUCACCAAAGUUAAGCAAUGUUGAAGCUGGUCAGUACCUAGAUGGGUGACCACUUGGAAAUGCCAUGUGCUGUAAG